rnacentral:miRNA from 12 species
CGGCUCAUCACCGGGCAUCUUGC